rnacentral:rRNA from 1 species
GUCUACGGCCAUACCACCCUCAACACGCCUGAUCUCGUCUGAUCUCGGAAGCUAAGCAGGGUUGGGCCUGGUUAGUACUUAGAUGGGAGAGUAACACUAGAUGCUAUAGGCU